rnacentral:lncRNA from 1 species
GGAUUUUGGGGUUGAAAUUUUCAUAACAGCUCCAUGGCUUUCCAGAAGGAAGAAGAGGUCACCUGCACUCCUGGAAACACUGGAGGAGAAAAACAUUCCAGUCUAGGGAACAGCCAUGCCAGGGAUACCCCGCAGAGCGCUGCAUAAGUGAAUCUUUCUGGUUCACCCAGCUGCUGGCUCAGCAGCACACACGAUUCCUUUUCUCCUGCUUGUUCAGCCCCACU